rnacentral:tRNA from 1 species
GGACUUAUAACUCAGUUGGUUAGAGUGCCGUACUAAUAUCAGCUUGCAUUUCAAGCUACUAUUGGUCAUGCGGAAGUCCACAGUUCGAGCCUGUGUUGGUCCA